UGGCAGUGUGUGUUGGUGUGUAACAGAUGUGAGUGUACGGUGAAGAACUCGGCCGCUGGAAGACUCUUCUCUACGAAUAAAACUACCUGUUUUUUUCUCUGAAUAGAGCCAAUAACAAGCACAAGACGAGGAGGACACGUGCGAAAAUGCGAGAAGAAACCCAGGAAGAGUGUGUGUGCUUAUUAAAAAUUCAGCGCGGGAGAACAGACGUUAUGGCCCCUUCAGUUGACUUGCGGCAGCACUGAGGAGAAACUACAGCACUGACGGGGUCCGAGCAUUAUUGAAUGGCGUGAAACGAAGCGGAAUUUUCUCUAAAAAGCGACACCAAAGCAUUUUCAAGCGGCCAAAACCCAAAGGGAAGGGGAGGAGAGGGGGGCAAAGAAAACGCCCUGCUGCCUGUUGCUGGUAUCUCCACAUUCAAACUUUAUCGCCGAGUUGGAAAAAUGCAUCCUUCACUCAACGGGAGGUGAUAAUUCAAGUGUAACGUUAUCUUUAUUAGCUCAAAUCCCAAGCUGCUAGCUAACCGAAGGCCCCGCUCACUUGAUAAACUUCCCUCUCUUCUUUGCUUUGGGAAUAUUUUCUCUUCAUUGUGCACACUAUUCCUGCUGGAAGCGAUCUGGGUGGGCUGUGAGAGCCCAGGGCUGCUCUGCUAGGCCCACGGCCAUUAGCCAGGAACAAAGAGCUUUCACAUGUAAACUCACGCAGUUUGCAAAACCUCUUCACAUUUAGCUCAACUUUUAACGCCCGACGCCGCUGCAGUCAUGUCGCUCGGCGCUGAGAGGAGGAUGGAAACCCGGCUGAAGAAGCUGGAGGACAUGAUCAGAGAUCCCAGAUCUGCCAUAAACCUGGAAAGUUUGCUGGACUCCAUAAACGCCCUGGUCUUAGACUUGGACUACCCUGCACUACGCAAGAACAAAAACAUUGAAACCUUCUUAAACAGAUAUGAGAAAGUCAUAGGGCAGACUCGAGAUCUCCAGAUGAAGUCUGAAGACUUUGACAGAGUUAAAGUCAUUGGUCGAGGGGCAUUUGGUGAAGUCCAACUGGUCCGGCAUAAACCCUCUCAGAAGGUCUACGCCAUGAAGCUACUGAGCAAGUUUGAGAUGAUCAAGCGCUCAGACUCAGCUUUCUUCUGGGAAGAGAGGGACAUCAUGGCCUUUUCCAACAGUCCCUGGGUUGUCCAGUUGUGCUGUGCCUUCCAAGAUGAGCACUACCUCUACAUGGUGAUGGAAUACAUGCCAGGAGGCGACCUGGUCAACCUCACCAGCACCUACGACGUGCCAGAGAAAUGGGCAAAGUUCUACACAGCAGAGGUGGUAAUGGCCCUGGAUGCCAUUCACUCCAUGGGCUUCAUCCAUCGGGACGUCAAGCCGGACAACAUGCUACUAGACCGACUCGGACACCUCAAGCUGGCCGACUUCGGCACGUGCAUGAAGAUGGACUCUACCGGCAUGGUGCACUGUGAUACUGCUGUCGGGACUCCAGACUACAUCUCUCCUGAGGUGCUGAAAUCCCAGGGAGGAGAUGGGUAUUAUGGGAGAGAGUGCGACUGGUGGUCCGUAGGAGUCUUCAUCUUCGAGAUGCUUGUUGGUGACACGCCGUUCUACGCCGACUCUCUGGUGGGAACCUACAGUAAGAUAAUGGACCAUAAAAACUCCCUCAACUUCCCUGAUGAUGUGGAGAUCUCCAAAGAUGCCAAGAAUAUCAUCUGUGCCUUCCUGACUGACAGGGAGGUGCGAUUGGGCAGAAACGGCGUGGAAGAAAUCAAGCGACACCCUUUCUUCAAGAACGACCAGUGGACCUUCGACACCAUCAGAGAUACGGUUGCCCCUGUGGUCCCAGAGCUGAGCAGUGACAUAGACACCAGUAAUUUUGAUGAGAUUGAAGAUGACAAAGGCGAUGUAGAAACUUUCCCCACACCUAAGGCCUUUGUUGGAAAUCAGUUACCCUUCGUUGGCUUCACUUACUUCAAAGAAGACCAGUUACUAAAUUGUUCCAACAAUUCUUCUGUUGCUCAUGAGAAUUCGAAAGGAGAGCAGUCAGCAGCACUGCAGAAGAAACUGCACCACCUGGAGGUACAGCUGAAGAAUGAGAAGCAGGUCAAAGAUGAGGUUGAGCACAAAUACAGAGCUGCCACUGGUCGUCUAGACAAAAUCUCCAAAGAGCUUGAGGAAGAGGUGAGUAGCAGAAAGAAUCUGGAGUCGAGUCUGAGGCAGCUAGAGAGAGAGAAAGCCCUGCUGCAGCACAAGAGCCUGGAGAGCCACCGCAAGGCUGAGAGCGAGGCCGACAGGAAGCGCUGCCUGGAGAAUGAAGUCAACAACCUUCGAGAUCAGCUGGAUGACAUGAAGAGAAGAAACCAGAAUUCACACAUUUCCAAUGAGAAGAACAUUCACCUGCAGAAACAGCUGGAAGAAGCCAACGCGCUGCUACGGGCUGAGUCUGAGGCGGCGACACGGCUCCGUAAAACCCAGACGGACAGCAGCAAGCAGCUGCAGCAGCUGGAGGCCAACGUGCGCGAGCUGCAGGACAAAUGCUGCCUGUUGGAGCGCAGCAAGCUGAGUCUGGAGAAGGAAUGCAUCAGCCUGCAGGCAGCCCUCGAGACAGAGAGGAGGGAGCACAGCCAGGGCUCGGAGACCAUCAGCGACCUGAUGGGACGUAUCUCUGGCCUGGAGGAGGAGGCCCGUCAGCAGAGACAGGCUCUGUCCAAAGCUGAGACUGAGAAGAGACAGCUUCAGGAAAAACACACCCAUCUGGAGAAGGAGAUGAGCAACAAGGAGAUUGAUUUGACCUACAAGCUGAAGGUGCUGCAGCAGGAGCUGGAGCAGGAGGAGGCCUCUCACAAAGCCACCAGGGCACUGCUGGCAGACACCAGCAAGAUCAAAGUAACCAUCGAGGGCGCCAAGUCAGAGUCCAUGAAGGAGAUGGAGCAGAAGCUGGCAGAGGAGCGAGCCGCCAAACUUCGGCUGGAGAACCGAAUACUGGAGCUGGAGAAGCACAGCAGCAUGAUGGACUGGGACUAUAAACAGGCUCUGCAGAAACUAGAUGAGCUGCGCAGACACAAGGACCGCCUAACUGAGGAGGUGAAGAACCUGACGCUAAAGAUCGAGCAGGAGACCCAGAAGCGUAACCUGACUCAGAACGACCUGAAGGCCCAGAACCAGCAGCUCAACUCUCUGCGAACCUCAGAGAAGCAACUCAAGCAGGAAACUAAUCACCUUCUGGACAUAAAACGCAGCCUGGAGAAGCAGAACCAAGAGCUGCGCAAAGAAAGACAGGACACAGACGGGCAAAUGAAGGAAUUACAGGACCAGUUAGAAGCUGAACAGUAUUUCUCUACGCUGUACAAGACCCAGGUUCGUGAACUAAAGGAGGAGUGUGAAGAGAGGAAUAAACUCUACAAAGAUGUGCAGCAGUCUCUGCAGGAGCUCCAAGAGGAGAGGGAUUCGUUGGCAGCUCAGCUCGAGAUCACACUGACAAAGGCUGACUCAGAGCAGCUGGCGCGCUCCAUCGCUGAGGAGCAGUACUCGGACUUGGAGAAGGAGAAGAUAAUGAAGGAGUUGGAACUGAAGGAGAUGAUGGCCCGCCAUCGUCAGGAGCUAGCCGAGAAGGACAUCACCAUCAAUUCGCUGGAGGAAGCCAAUAGGACCCUGACCAGUGACGUCGCCAACCUAGCCAAUGAGAAGGAGGAGCUGAACAACAAACUGAAGGAGACAAUAGAAGAAUCAGAAAAAUCAAAGGAUUGGGAGCAGCAGAUAAGCCAGAUGAAGCAGGCAUUUGAGAAGCAGCUGCAGUCAGAGAGGACCCUGAAAACGCAGGCCGUCAAUAAGCUGGCAGAGAUCAUGAACAGGAAGGAGGUCCGUGGCGGAGGAAGCCGCCGUGGCAACGACACAGACAUGCGGCGGAAGGAGAAGGAGAACAGGAAGCUGCAGUUGGAGCUGAGGUCGGAGAAGGAAAAACUCAACAGCUCCAUCAUCAAAUACCAGAGGGAGAUCAAUGAAAUGCAAGCGCAACUGUCGGAAGAGAGCCAGAUGCGUAUCGAGCUGCAGAUGGCUCUGGACAGUAAGGACAGUGACAUCGAGCAGCUGAGGAACCGCCUGCUGUCGCUCAGCGUUCAGUCAAUGGACUCUACCAGCGUCAGCAGUGGGCCGGAGUUUGAUACCGAUGAUGCGUACACAGAAACGAGGCUGGAGGGCUGGCUCUCUCUCCCUGUCAGAAACAACACCAAGAAGUUUGGAUGGGAGAAAAAGUAUGUUGUAGUGAGCAGCAAGAAGAUUCUCUUCUACAACAGCGAGCAAGACAAAGAGCAGUCCAUUCCCUACAUGGUGCUUGAUAUAGACAAACUCUUCCAUGUGAGACCUGUCACUCAAACAGAUGUGUACCGUGCUGAUGCUAAAGAGAUUCCCAGGAUAUUCCAGAUUCUUUAUGCCAAUGAAGGCGAGAGCAAAAAGGAGCCUGAGUUUCCUGUGGAGCCCCUGGCCAUCGGGGAGAAAUCCAGCUACAUCUGCCACAAGGGCCAUGAGUUCAUCCCCACGCUCUACCAUUUCCCCACCAACUGCGAGGCGUGCACCAAGCCGCUGUGGAACAUGUUCAAGCCGCCGCCUGCUCUGGAGUGCCGGCGCUGCCACAUCAAGUGCCACAAGGACCACAUGGACAAGAAGGAGGAGAUCAUUGCACCGUGCAAAGUGAACUACGACGUGUCUACGGCCAAGAACCUGCUACUGCUGGCCUUGUCCCAGGAGGAGCAGCAGAAAUGGGUGAGCCGACUGGUCAAGAAGAUUCCCAAGAAGCCACCUCCACCAGAGCAUUUUGCACGCUCCUCACCACGCGCCUCCAUGAAGGUCCAGCCCAGCCAGUCCAUUAGGAGGCCAAGUCGACAGCUCCCCACCAGCAAGAGCAGGUCAAAUGGCUUCAAAAUGAGGCGAGAAGAAUCCCACAGUGGACACUGGUAUAAAUGAUGACUUCUCCCACCUUGUUCUUUCUUUGCCCAGAUGUUUCCCUGUGUACACCUCAAUUCCUGAAUGUGUUUAACCUUGCGUGGAAGCAUGGUGCAUCGUCGUGGUGGUGGGGCGUUUCCUCCUGAAUCAAGGACUGCAUACAAAGCUCCGUUAGCAGAUAAGCACACUGAACUCCGCAUCACUUCUCCACAACCUGCCCGGCCGUGCUUCCUUCCGCCUGUUGGAGUUACCAAGUCUGUUUUCCCCCUUUUGUUGAACUUCUUCCCCAGCCAAUUGAAGCGGCGACGACUAUCAAACUCAGUACCUGUGAUCUUUUCACCCAGCUGGAUGGCUUGUAAGCAUGUUGGUCUUCUCGUGGGCCCUUGACGAGAGCAAAUUAUGUGUCUCUGGGGGGGGGUGCUGGAGUGGCUCAUCCAGCUCCCACAGAACAGAGCUCUUAUAAGCCCAACAAGGACCGGCAAAAAAGGGGAUACACUUACCUCAACACUUCUCACCAGGACACACUGUCCGAUUGAAGGACCUAACAGGAAAACUCUCUCUCUUCCUCACCACUUUUGGGGAUUCUUGUGGCCAAAUAAAAAGGAGCAUUCUUGUUUAAUGAUAAUGACAAUAUGAAGGGUUUAACGGGGAACACUACACUCAGAAGAUAGUAAAUUCUGUAAUUUGUUGGCUGAAUGCAGCUGAGGUUGUUGAACAUGAUCCCAGAUACAGUAUCUGUACUUAUUCUAACUGUUUAACAUAUUGAUUGUAGCUUCUUGCUUUCCAUGAUUCUGCUUUCAGGUGUGCGUCCACUCGGGUCACAGAAACUUGAAUAAGGUACUUAAGCAAAGGAGCUGGGACUUUAAGGAAAAUCAGCAAGGCGGGGAAGGAGUGUCAGUCCUCCAGGAUUUGAGCAAAUAAUUCCUUGAGUGCCUCUUAUUCAGAUUUCUGACUCAGACAUGCUCUGAAUCACUGGUUUGUCGUUGUAUGACUACAGUAACGGUUCUAAGUGAACAGAAUCCUGCUCUGAAUGGCAUUAGAUCAGACAUGAGAUCCUCACAAUCCCAACUUUUUUUUUUUAAAAGCCGCACUGUCUGUUAUGAGGGUUAAUGUUUACUGAAUUCAAGGGGUGCACCAUUAAUGCUUUUCUGAUCCGAGCUCGGCUCCUUUAGUUGUUUGAAUGUACAUCUGGUCUUCACCAGAGACGACACGCAGGCAUUGUAUUACUUCUAUCCAAAUAUACUUGACUGAAGCCCCCUUUCUUCACCAACUACUCUGAGUGAACUUGCAUGUGUUUGCCUUUUCAGGCCUCACACUGUCACCCACAGGCCUCCACCUAUUAGAAAUGUAGUUUUUAGUCAUUCCUGGCAAUGAAAAUGAGGGGGAUUUACCAGUAAGAAGCAGAAACAAUGUAGGUAUGCAAUCAUAUCUCAUGAGUCAAAAUACUGAGCAGCACUAUUCCAUUGAAAGUUUUUCUAAAAAGUGUUUGUCCUGAUAUUUUUGUAUUAAAAGUAACCAAACUCUGAGUUUGGGCACAUUGUUGUGUGUAUGUGGCUUAUAUAGCAGGUGGAGUAUAACUAGGUGUGUGUGUCUGUAUGUAUGUGAGUGUGUGUACUGAGUGCUCUGCUUUAACCAAGAAGCAUGUUUUAUACAUAUAAAUAUACACAGUAUAUAUAUUUUACAUGCCAUACAGUGCACAUUAUAUUAUUUAUACAGCCUUGUCCACUUUGUAUUUAAGGGCUCUACAUCCAUUUGCAUGUUUGCUAUCAAACAGCUCUAUAAUAAUAACUACGUCAUCAAUAAAGACAUGGAUGUGC